AUGUCUCCUCGUCGCAUGUCUCCUCCUUUGGAGUCGGUAGUUUCUGAGGUCACUUCGUGCCGUUCACAUUCCGGGCCUGCUCAACCGUACAGCCGACGAGCUGUCUCGAGCAAUGCUCCCGGGAGAAUGGCGACUCCAUCCCCUGACGGUCCAGCUGAUCUGGAGAUGGUUCAGAGCCGCUCAGGUAGACCUGUGUGCUUCUCCAGAGACCGCUCACUGCCAGUUGUUCUACUCCCUGACCGAGGGAACUCUCGGCACGGACACACUGGCACACAGCUGGCCGCGGGGACUACGCAAAUAUGCGUUUCCCCCAGUGAGCUUUCUCGCACAGACACUGUCCAAAGUCCGGGAGGAAGAGGAGCGAGUCUUGCUAGUGGCGCCGUAUUGGCCCACUCGGACCUGGUUCCCCGAACUAGUGCUCCUCGCGACAGCCCCUCCUUGGCCGAUUUCUCUGAGGAAGGAUCUACUGACUCAGAGACGGGGCACCGUUUGGCACCCGCGUCCAGACCUUUGGAAACUCCAUGUCUGGUCCCUGGAUGGGACGUGGAGGUUCUAGGUGACCUACCCCAGGAGGUAGUGCACACCAUCACUUCGGCAAGUGCACCAUCUAUGAGACACGCUUACCCCUGGAAGUGGAACCUGUUCAUCGAGUGGUGUUUUUCUCGCCGAGAAGACCCCCGAAGAUGCCCGAUUGCAGUCGUGCUUUCCUUUCUGCAGCAAGGGCUGGAGCGAAGGCUGUCUCCCUCCACCCUCAAAGUCCAGGUUGCCGCUAUUGCUGUGUACCAUGACCCCGUGAAUGGGAAGUCUUUAGGUAAGCAUGACCUCAUCAUCAGGUUCCUUAGAGGGGCAAGGAGGUUAAAUCCUUCCCAGCCCCCCUCUAUACCCCCUUGGGACCUGACUCUAGUGCUAAAAUCACUACAGCGGGGCCCAUCUGAGCCUUUACAUUCAGCUGAGCUAAAGUUUCUUUCAUUGAAAACUCUGCUCUUGCUUGCAUUGGCCUCCAUCAAGAGGGUAGGGGACCUGCACGCAUUUUCGGUCGACGAUUCGUGCCUAGAGUUUGGGCCAGCUGACUCCCAGGUAAUCCUGAGGCCCCGGCCCGGCUACGUGCCCAAGGUUCCAACUACACCCAUCAAAGACCAAGUGGUGAACCUGCAAGCGCUGCCCCUGGAGGAGGCAGACCCAGCCCUGGCUUUGCUCUGUCCCGUCCGAGCAUUGAUAUGCUAUGUAGACCGGACACAAAGCUUCAGGACAUCAGAUCAGCUCUUUGUCUGUUACGGAGGCUGGCAGAAGGGGAAUACCAUCUCUAAGCAGAGGAUGGCCCACUGGAUUGUGGAUGCCAUAGCCCUGGCUUAUCAGGCACAGGGUGUGCCCUGCCCAUUCAGGUUGCGAGCUCACUCAACUAGAAGUGUUGCAUCCUCCUGGGCGCUGGCUCAUGGUGCCUCGCUGACAGAUAUUUGUAGAGCUGUGGGCUGGGGGACUCCUAACACGUUUGCUGGGUUCUAUAGCCUUUGUGUAGAGCCGGUAUCCUCCUGUGUUCUCACCUCAAACGGGUAG
ensembl:lncRNA